rnacentral:rRNA from 1 species
GCGUUGUUCGGAAUUACUGGGCGUAAAGGGCGCGUAGGCGGCCUUCUAAGUCAGACGUGAAAUCCCCCGGCUUAACCUGGGAACUGCGUCUGAUACUGGGAGGCUAGAGUAUGGGAGAGGGAUGCGGAAUUCCAGGUGUAGCGGUGAAAUGCGUAGAUAUCUGGAGGAACACCGGUGGCGAAGGCGGCAUCCUGGACCGACACUGACGCUGAGGAGCGAAAGCCAGGGGAGCAAACGGG